rnacentral:rRNA from 1 species
AACGAACGCUGGCGGCAUGCCUAACACAUGCAAGUCGAACGAGAUCCUUCGGGGUCUAGUGGCGCACGGGUGCGUAACGCGUGGGAAUCUGCCCUUAGGUUCGGAAUAACAGUUAGAAAUGACUGCUAAUACCGGAUGAUGACGUUAAGUCCAAAGAUUUAUCGCCUGAGGAUGAGCCCGCGUAGGAUUAGCUAGUUGGUGUGGUAAAGGCGCACCAAGGCGACGAUCCUUAGCUGGUCUGAGAGGAUGAUCAGCCACACUGGGACUGAGACACGGCCCAGACUCCUACGGGAGGCAGCAGUGGUGAAUAUUGGACAAUGGGCGCAAGCCUGAUCCAGCAAUGCCGCGUGAGUGAUGAAGGCCUUAGGGUUGUAAAGCUCUUUUACCCGAGAUGAUAAUGACAGUAUCGGGAGAAUAAGCCCCGGCUAACUCCGUG